UACAGAGGUCUCAAACGUUGUUCGGAUUCAUUGGGCGUAAAGGGCGCGUAGGCUGCGGGGCAAGUCGGGUGUGAAAUCUCAGAGCUCAACUCUGAAACUGCACUCGAUACUGCUUUGCUUGAGGACUGGAGAGGAGAUUGGAAUUCACGGUGUAGCAGUGAAAUGCGUAGAUAUCGUGAGGAAGACCAGUGGCGAAGGCGGAUCUCUGGACAGUUCCUGACGCUGAGGCGCGAAGGCCAGGGGAGCAAACGGG
rnacentral:rRNA from 1 species